AUGCUUGCUUCAGCAGACUAUAUAUACUAAAAUUAGAACAAUACAGAGAAGAUUAGCCCGGCCUCUGUGUAAGGAUGACAUGCAAAUUUGUAAAGCAUUUCCUAUCUUA